ACAACUACCUAGGAUGGAAGAAGUCAUGACCAUGAGUAAGGUCCCCUACCCAGGGUGAGGCUUAACCAUUGCACUCUGGGUAUGCAUACCACUGGUAUUUUCCUAAAAAAUGGAAAACUAUACUAUAUAAUUUUAUUAAUUCAGAAGUGAAUUCCCACUUUCUCC